GAUGAACGCUGGCGGCGUGCCUAAUACAUGCAAGUCGAGCGAACAGACGAGGAGCUUGCUCCUUCGACGUUAGCGGCGGACGGGUGAGUAACACGUAGGUAACCUACCUAUAAGAUUGGGAUAACUUCGGGAAACCGGAGCUAAUACCGGGUAAUAUUUCGAACCGCAUGGUUCGAUAGUGAAAGAUGGCUUUGCUAUCACUUAUAGAUGGACCUGCGCCGUAUUAGCUAGUUGGUAAGGUAACGGCUUACCAAGGCAACGAUACGUAGCCGACCUGAGAGGGUGAUCGGCCACACUGGAACUGAGACACGGUCCAGACUCCUACGGGAGGCAGCAGUAGGGAAUCUUCCGCAAUGGGCGAAAGCCUGACGGAGCAACGCCGCGUGAGUGAUGAAGGUCUUCGGAUCGUAAAACUCUGUUAUUAGGGAAGAACAAACGUGUAAGUAACUGUGCACGUCUUGACGGUACCUAAUCAGAAAGCCACGGCUAACUACGUG
rnacentral:rRNA from 1 species